AGCCAGACGUUGCCCGUGCGUUGCGAACGAGCGAGCGAAGCCUUUGCCCUCAAGCGACGCCACACCAGAUCCUUCGCCCUCGCAGCCGCCGCCGAUCCCCUCCCUCAAACGCCGCCGCCCGUCGCUGCCGCCCCCGCCACCUCCCGUCGCGGCCGCCCCGCCACCUCCUGUCGCGGGCAGGCGGGAGGAGCCCUGCCCGGCCAUGGCGACACCGCCGGCGGCCUCCUCCUCCCCCCCACCUUCUCUCCCUCUCCCAAGGGAGGGAAGGGAAUGGAAGGGAUCCGGCGGCAAGGGGAGGAAGCGCCCAGAUCCGCAGCCGCACCGGCGGGCCGCCGUCCCUCGAGAUCGUCCAGGGAGGUCUGACCCGGCUGCAGCCAUGCACUGAGACGCCCGAAACCCUAGCUACCCGUGGAGGUCCGACGCCUCAACCUCCAAGGAAAGGACGCGCGCCGGCUGCAGGCCAUCUCCGGCGACCUCCGACCAUGGUUGCUCGGAUCUGGACCAGCUGCUGCUCCUACUGCUUCAGGUGGACGAGGACGAGCCCUCCCUCAUGGCUGCUGCGGCUGCCUACUCCCUCCUCCUACCCCCUGUCCUGGUGUGGAGAGCAGUAUUCUUCCAUCCCCAAUCAGAAAUAGCUGCUAACUGAGCGCAUCAGUUAGAAGAGAAGUUAGAGCUGACGGGAGUGGUGCUAACAGUUUCCACAAUAAUCGCCUGACAGAUAAAUAUAUAUCUUCUCAUUUUUCAGAUUUUGUUGUUCAAUCCAGUUAAAUCUAUUAGCUUACUGUUUGUGGUAUAACUAUUUCUAGAAUUUACAAUGUGGUUUCCAUGCCUAUUGAUUUAACUUGAUGAGAAAAAUUAAACCUAUGUUAUUCAAAAUUUAGUGGGGACCGUUCUUGAUUUUUUAAUGCACUGCCUAGAAGGUAGCUCUGAAUAAAUCUUCUAUAAAAUAAACAUAUUUUAUUGUUAAAUUUUGUAUUUUUAGAAGCAGAUACCAUUCAUUGUUUUUUCAUUUACAACUGCACAUGUUCGGUUAUGUGUCCAUAUAUGCGGUACGGAGUUUUAGAUAUGAAGCAAACAGUUCAAGGUAUUUCGUAUUGGUAGAGCUUAAUCCGUGAUGUGUGAUGCUUUCUAAUAGCACUGUAUAUUGUAUAAUUUAACAUAUAACUCGUUAUAAUUCUGUGAGUGAAUUCCGGCUUUUACCCCCUAAUUAACCAUUUUCGACACUAUUUACCCCAUUUAACAAAUUUUCAUCCAGAUUACCCCAUUUAGUGACAAUCUUGUCUGUUCUUACCCCUUUUAAAUUUUAAGAGCCUUCUUGCAAAGAUCAUGUUAAUUUUACUCGAGACUAAGUGCCCAAAUAUACAUUUUUAUUAAAACAAAAAAAAUCUGAUCCUAUCAUGUCAAUAACUUUUUUUUUUGCAAGAAUCAUGUCAAUAACUGGUAGUACUAAUUUUCAAUGGACACACAUCAUUGGAGCUCACUAAAAAACACAUGUACGACAAUAGCGACAAUAGCACCGCAGACAUGUAAAAUAGACUGUGGUGUUUUUGUUUGAUGAUCUCCCAAAGCUUAAAAUAAGUGGUUCCUCCGAUGUUUUGCAUCAAAGAAGAAAACAAAAAUAUCAUCACAUGAAACCUAGAAACCGAGUACGAAAGUGUUAUGCGCCGGGCCCGACCUCCUCUGGCGCUCCCGCGAGCGGCAGGGGAGGCAAACCCUACCGCCGCCGCUAGGCCCCCUCCUCCCCUCCACCCUCCCUCGCAGCCGCCAGAGGCCGUGGCCGAGCGACGCCCCGACGGCGCCGGCGCCGGCUGGCAUGUUCAAGUGUCGGCUGGCGCGUAGACGGCUUGUGUCGGCCUUCGAUUCCUCUCCUUGUCGUCCGGGCGCUACUUUGGUCGAAGGAUUGGACCUUUCCCAGCAGCGGUCCAUCGCUCGUCUCGCGCCCGAUAGCAGGACCGACCUCGUCUCACGCCCUACAACACGACCGACCUCGUCUCACGCCCGGUGCAGCAGGACGGGUCGAUGGAGGCCAGUUUUGGCUGGCCUAUUGGGUCUCGGCGCUGGGGGCUACCCAGGGGUGUGAAAGGCGGGGCCUUUCCACUCGUCUCUUUUGUUGGGGUACCAGCGGGUCUCGGGUGAGGUGGUGUCAAAGGUCUUGGAUGCCAGGGCGGUGGCCCUGGUGGUGGUAGCACGGUGCACAUGGGCAGAGCCUGUGGCUCGGUGUUGCCCGGUGGCCAUGGCCGGGUGGGCGGUGUGGUCGCCGGGGUGUGGCGUUCGGUGGCCGUGAGUGUUGACUGGGGUGAAAACCUGUUCGAUCUUCAGACGGACCGGCGGCGGCGAAGGUCGUUCCCUUCCUGAAGGCAUCGUCGCAGCUCUCAUUGCCCAUCGUGUUGCUCCAAGGGAAACUCUGACCCUCAUGUCGGGUGGUGGUGGCCCUUUCGUAUCGUAACCUUCCUGAAGGUGCCACCUUGGAUCCCACGGUUUGUCGUAUGCGGCUUCAGUUCUUCGCGAUAGCGUGUUCACUGUUGAGGACCCUGGUUACUCUUGUAGUGCUAGGGGUGGUGUUGAUGUGCUCAGUGCCUAUGUAUCAUGCCGUGGGUGUGUGCGUGUGUUACGGUGUUGUGCGUUUAUACUGGUUGUGGAUGAUGUUGCUUUAUAUAUAAAGCAGGGCGAAAGCUUUUUUGGGUAACCUACAAACCGCAACCCACAAUGCAAAAUUGAACGUACUUGACCGCCGAAGAUAACUGUUUCUCUUUCCCUCGAUGUGGUGCUCACGUACCUGACAGCCAUGAGAAGAAAAAUGGGUGCGGCUAAACCAAGUGACCGGGUCGGGCAUUGGAAAAAAUGCCAAGAAAUCUGAUGGCGGGGAGUUAGCUAGCAGAUCACUCUCAAAAAUCUUACUGGGGUAAAAACUGACAAGACUUUUGCUAAAUGGGGUAAUUGGGAUGAAAAAAUGUUUAAUGGGGUAACUAGUGUCAAAAAUGUGGAAGUAAAGGGUAAAAACUGGAAUUCACUCUAAUUCUGUUAAGUCGUACUUAUACAUCUUACAACCAACAUGUGUAGUGAUCUACUCAGCCACCUUCUUAAAAGUGAAAUUUCUUGCCAAUUAUAGCUGCAUGCAAGAAUUGAUUUUCUAUCUGGUAGCUACUAGUAUGUUUUAGAAGGGAGAUUACUUUGCUUCGAGGUACAGGAUGUUGUGAUAUUUGUUUUUAUCGCCUUCUUGUAUUUCUGACAUUGACUUCCUUCUUUUCCUUUCAUUCUCAGUGAACAAAGGAAGCCUUGCGCCAAGGAGAAGCGGACGUGGUGUUCGACUAGGCCAAAGAGAGGACAGGAGAGGACCACAGAGAGCAAAGGAGAGGAUAGAAUCAGAGCACCGUCACUCAGGCGUGGGUAAAUCCGAUCAUGGUGCUUCAGGUUCAGGGUCUGCCUUGCUAUGAUACAAUGCGGGAGGAGAUCAACAUGAAGAGCAAGGUCUCCUGAUCCAAGUCCCCUGUCAGGAAGUGGUUCAACAUCAAGGGCAAGGCGCAGGAUUUCCAUGCGGAUAACGAUGCUACUACCCAAGGACGGGAUGAAGGUGAUUAACGGAGGACCAGCUGCUUGCAGAGGGACACAGGCGCUGCCAAGAAAAGCAGAACUGAACGGUCGUUGAAGCAAAAUAUCGAUCAUGUUCGUAGAUCAGGGAAUGAAUUUGAUGUGUCACGCCUGACAAAAGCCCAAGAUUACAGAAUCUUUGUGGCGACGUGGAAUGUUGGUGGCCAAUGCCCAUCAAGGGGGUUGAAUUUAGAUGACUGACUCCAUUGUUCACCCCCUGUUGAUAUCUAUGUGCUCGGGUAUCACUUAUUACGAGGACACUAAACAAGAACGCUGGGUCUAGCAUUCAUGCUGGCUAUCACACGCCAUUCCCUGUCCCUGAUCCGGUUGUGGAACUAGAUGCUGAUUUUAAGGUAUCAUUGCGAAGACAUGAUAGCUCAUCAUUUUCCACCACUAUCAUUCCGAAACCUUAGUCGGAGUUUAAGGGUUUCAGGAAAUGAUAUGUUCUCACAACCAAUAUUGGCCCGUAGGUUUAGUGUGUGCGACCCUGUUAACAUAGGAUUCAGGCCGAGCGAUUUUGAUAGAAAUUUCAAGUGUAUCGGAUCACCAGUUGAUGAGUAUAUUGAGGAGGGUACAAGUAAUGGAGCAUAUUUUUCACCAUUCCCAUAUGGUUAUGGUACUUAAACACCUAUGGAAGAAGAUGAAGAGCAGCCAAAUACUUCUAGGUGUCCAGGUAUUGUUUGGUUGCCAGCAAACAGAUGGUUGGCAGAUUUCUCACAUUUUGGGUACCAGGGGCUAGCUUUGUUGAUGCAUAUGCCGACAUGAUAAACUUGAUAUACAUGCAUACUUUAAUGUUAAUUGGAGAUAAGAGCAGUUAUGCGGCGUUCCCUUCUUGAAGGCAUCGCCGAGGAGAAGUUCAAGGCCACCAUCUGCUAUCUCCGGGGGAAACCCUAGAUCAGUAGAUCAGAUGAUGGCGGCGCUAUUUUGUGUCGUUUCCUCUCGGGGGCGUCAGUCUUGGAGGUGUUCACGGGAUCGAGGGACCAGUGGGCGGCUUCUUUGGUGUAGCGGUGCUUCAUCUUAAUCAUUGAUGGCAGCAGGUCUCGGCGGCGUGGUGCAGUGGAGACUUGGCGCCCGAUGCGCGGAGAUGGACUCGCGCAGGAGGAGGUAGCUGUCUGGCGUCAUGGUGACGUCGAUGGCGGAGUGGCCUUCACAAGGUAGAAGACUCAAUAUAUUCUGAAGACGGACCUGUGGAAGAUGGCUGCGACGACACAAGAGUGUGUCUGACCGGAUUGUGCCCCAGACCCGGUAUGUGGCUCGGCUGGGGCUGCCGGCUUUUGAUGUUAGGUUUAGGUGAGUGGUUUGGGUAGUGGCCCAACUAGCAUCCCUUCAUCAUAUGGAUAAGAGUAGCGGCAUAUGUUGCCGAGAUGGUGGAUUCAGGAAUAUUGUCUGUAAUACUUUGUAAGGUCCUCGAGAAUAAUUAAUAAAGUGGCCGUAUGCAUCUCCCAGAUGCAGAGGCCGGGGGUCAUCCUCCAUUUCUAAAAAAAAGAUAAGAGCAGCCUCAUAGUUUGGGUGCAUCACAUAAUUACUAUGUAUGAACUGUCCUAGAACUAAUCACAUGUACACUUGUAGGCUUCAGAGUGUUGUUUCUGAAGAACCACAUUCAAGUCAUUAAAUCGAUUUUAUGAAGAGAUUCUCUCAGUUCU